rnacentral:rRNA from 1 species
UAUCUCUGUAGAGUCUGCAUAUCAAUAAGCGGAGGAAAAGAAACUAACAAGGAUUCCCUUAGUAACGGCGAGUGAAGCGGGAAGAGCUCAAAUUUGAAAUCUUCAAGGUUCUACCUUGACGAAUUGUAGUUUAAAGAAGUGUUUUCUGUUAGAUGAGUAGCAAAAGUUCCUUGGAAUGGGACAUCAUAGAGGGUGAGAAUCCCGUAUUUGGUUAUUCAUUCUAGCUUUGUCGAUACACUUUCAAAGAGUCGGAUUGUUUGGGAAUGCAGUCCAAAAUGGGUGGUAAAUUUCAUCUAAAGCUAAAUAUUGGCGAGAGACCGAUAGCGAACAAGUACCGUGAGGGAAAGAUGAAAAGAACUUUGAAAAGAGAGUUAAACAGUACGUGAAAUUGUCAAAAGGGAAGCGUUUGACACCAGUGUUGUUUUUUCCGAAAAUCAAUUACGAAUGGCUUGAUUUUGUGUUGUAUUGACCUUAUCAGCUUUCUUCACUUUUUUCGAGUCUUUCUUAAUGCACUUUUCGGUUAACAAGUCAACAUCAAUUUCUUUUGUUGUAAAAGAGUAUUCGGAAGGUGGCUUUCUUUUCGGAGAAAGUGUUUAUAGCCUUUGGCCUCUGCAAUCGGAGAGAUUGAGGUCUGCAGCGUAGAUCCUUCGGGGUUAGAUACAUUUGUGCUAAGUUAUAGCCUUUCAUAGACAACUUGUUGACUAUGAUCAGUCAUGUAGCUUACUCGCUUAUGCUAUUUUACCUACGCUUAGGAUGUUGA